UACGGAGGGUGCGAGCGUUGUCCGGAUUUAUUGGGUUUAAAGGGUGCGUAGGUGGCUUUUUAAGUCAGUGGUGAAAUACAGCCGCUCAACGGUUGAGGUGCCAUUGAUACUGAAGAGCUUGAAACAAGUGGAGGCUGCCGGAAUGGAUGGUGUAGCGGUGAAAUGCAUAGAUAUCAUCCAGAACACCGAUUGCGAAGGCA
rnacentral:rRNA from 1 species